AGCUUUGCGCAGUGGCAGUAUCGUAGCCAAUGAGGUUUAUCCGAGGCACGAUUAUUGCUAAUUGAAAAAAAUAAAAAAAAAUAAAAAAAAUAAAAAUGGGGAUAAUAAUAAUAAUAUUUGCCUUAGAGGUUUCU